AUGGACUGCUUGUCCACUCCGGUUCCGGGCCUGCUGUCCGCGCCCACCUGACGACUGCUGGCCAAGUGUGUCGGCG
rnacentral:sRNA from 1 species